rnacentral:rRNA from 1 species
AGAGUUUGAUCAUGGCUCAGAUUGAACGCUGGCGGCAUGCCUUACACAUGCAAGUCGAACGGCAGCACGGGGGCAACCCUGGUGGCGAGAGGCGAACGGGUGAGUAAUACAUCGGAACGUGUCCUGUUGUGGGGGAUAACCCACCGAAAGGUGAGCUAAUACCGCAUGAUCUGGAGACAGCAAAGCAGGGGACCGCAAGGCCUUGCGCGAUUGGAGCGGCCGAUGUCCGAUUAGCUAGUUGGCGGGGUAAAGGCCCACCAAGGCGACGAUCGGUAGCUGGUCUGAGAGGAUGAUCAGCCACACUGGGACUGAGACACGGCCCAGACUCCUACGGGAGGCAGCAGUGGGGAAUUUUGGACAAUGGGGGCAACCCUGAUCCAGCCAUGCCGCGUGAGUGAAGAAGGCCUUCGGGUUGUAAAGCUCUUUCGGUGGGAACGAAACGGUUACGACUAAUACUUGUGACUACUGACGGUACCUACAGAAGAAGCACCGGCUAACUACGUGCCAGCAGCCGCGGUAAUAC